GGGGAAUCUUAGACAAUGGGGGCAACCCUGAUCUAGCCAUGCCGCGUGAGUGAUGAAGGCCUUAGGGUUGUAAAGCUCUUUCAGCUGGGAAGAUAAUGACGGUACCAGCAGAAGAAGUCCCGGCUAACUCCGUGCCAGCAGCCGCGGUAAUACGGAGGGGACUAGCGUUGUUCGGAAUUACUGGGCGUAAAGCGCAUGUAGGCGGACCAGCAAGUUAGGGGUGAAAUCCCGGGGCUCAACCCCGGAACUGCCUUUAAAACUGUCGGUCUGGAGUUCGAGAGAGGUGAGUGGAAUUCCGAGUGUAGAGGUGAAAUUCAUAGAUAUUCGGAGGGACACCAGUGGCGAAGGCGGCUCACUGGCUCGAUACUGACGCUGUGAUGCGAAAGCGUGGGGAGCAAAC
rnacentral:rRNA from 1 species